rnacentral:rRNA from 1 species
GACCAAUUGCAUGGCUACUUGUGCUGGCUGCUGUCUUCUUAUAGGGACUAUCAGCGUUUAACUGAUGGAAGUUUGAGGCAAUAACAGGUCUGUGAUGCCCUUAAAUGUUCUGGGCCGCACGCCCGCUACACUGACAGAGCCAGCGAGUCUACCACCUUGGCCGGAAGGCCUGGGUAAUCUUGUGAAACUCUGUCGUGAUGG